rnacentral:rRNA from 1 species
UACGUAGGGUGCGAGCGUUAAUCGGAAUUACUGGGCGUAAAGCGUGCGCAGGCGGUUUUGCAAGCCGGAUGUGAAAUCCCCGGGCUCAACCUGGGAAUGGCAUUCGGGACUGCAAGGCUGGAGUGCGGCAGAGGAGACUGGAAUUCCUGGUGUAGCAGUGAAAUGCGUAGAUAUCAGGAGGAACACCAGCGGCGAAGGCGGCGCUCUGGGCCGGUACUGACACUGAGGAGCGAAAGCGUGGGUAGCAAACAGG